GCCCAGAUAGCUCAGUCCGUAGAGCGUGAGACUCUUAAUCUCAGGGCCGUGGGUUCGAGCCCCACGCAGGGCA